ensembl:snoRNA U3 Small nucleolar RNA U3
AAGACUAUACUUUCAGGGAUCAUUUCUAUAGUUUGUUACUAGAGAAAAGAUAUUUAAGAUUAAAAAAGGAGAAAAACCUGAGUUUGUAGAACCAUGGU